rnacentral:rRNA from 1 species
AAUCUUGCACAAUGGAUGGAAUCCUGAUCGAGCAAGGCCGCUUGAUCGCAGAAUGUCUUCGGAUAGUAAAGCACUUUUGUCAGGGAAGAACACGUACCUCAUUCACCGCGAGAAUCUUGACGGUACCUUCACAGUAAGCACAGGCUAACUACUUGCCAUCAGCCGCGGUAAUACGUAGGGUGCAAGCGUUGAUCGGAAUUAUUGGGCGUAAAGCGUGUGUAGGCGGUCCUUAAAGUAAGAUGUGAAAGCACACGGCUCAACCGUGGAGGGUCAUUGGAAACUGGAGGACUAGAGUACACAAGAGGACAGCAGAAUUCCACGUGUAGCAGUGAAAUGCGUAGAAAUGUGGAGGAAUACCAGUGGCGAAGGCGGCUUUCUGGUACAAAACUGACGCUGAGGCACGAAAGCGUGGGGAGCAAACAG